rnacentral:rRNA from 1 species
GAUGAACGCUGGCGGCGUGCCUAAUACAUGCAAGUCGAGCGAACGGACGAGAAGCUUGCUUCUCUGAUGUUAGCGGCGGACGGGUGAGUAACACGUGGAUAACCUACCUAUAAGACUGGGAUAACUUCGGGAAACCGGAGCUAAUACCGGAUAAUAUUUUGAACCGCAUGGUUCAAAAGUGAAAGACGGUCUUGCUGUCACUUAUAGAUGGAUCCGCGCUGCAUUAGCUAGUUGGUAAGGUAACGGCUUACCAAGGCAACGAUGCAUAGCCGACCUGAGAGGGUGAUCGGCCACACUGGAACUGAGACACGGUCCAGACUCCUACGGGAGGCAGCAGUAGGGAAUCUUCCGCAAUGGGCGAGAGCAUGACGGAGCAACGCCGCGUGAGUGAUGAAGGUCUUCGGAUCGUAAAACUCGGUUAUUAGGGAAGAACAGAUGUGUAAGUAACUGUGCACAGCUUGACGGUACCUAAUCAGAAAGCCACGGCUAACUACGUG